CAGUAAUGACCAGACACAUCACACCCGCCUUCUAGAAGCCCUCCCUCACAAACCGGAUCAACUGCUAUGAUAAAGGUAAGACACGGAACAGUGUUGAGGAAGGCAGGAAUAAACAACUACAACAGGGUGGUCAAAGAAGCCUACACAGAGUUGAUUGCACUGGACAUCAGAGGUUGAGGAAGAAUGUUCUUGGAAGAAAAGGAUGGCAGUGUGCCAACUAGAAAAGCCACACUUGACCAGGCACAGUGGCUCAAGCCUGUAAUUCCAGCACUUUGGGAGGCCAAAGUGGGCGAAUCACGAGCUAAGAGGCAACAUACAUGGCUGGACAGUGAGAUUGUGUUAAUGUGGAUUAUUCCUCAACAAAUAUGCAUUCUUCUCCUCUCCCAUUGUGAAUAGAGUUUUGGUUUCCUUCUUUUCAUGAUUUGCCAUGAGAAGAACCCACCCAGGUAAUCACUGCUUGCUCAGAUCCCAGCAAAUUCUAGAUCCCAGAACUAGUGCUCUUAGAGCCAAGGCCAGCCGAUCCAAGUCUGGACCACUGCUCAGAUGAGCCAAGCCUGAAUUUGGGAGUGGUCGCGUUACAGAGCAUUACCCUGGCAAUAACUGACUGAUGCAGAGAUGUAAAUAGACAUCACUGGUGGAGCCCCCAGGAAAGCUCUUUAACAGAAGACAGACUCAGCUGGCAGGUUUUUUGCCCCUUUCCCUUCUCUUCCCUUGAAUGAAGACAGGCUCAAUGCUUGGAGGGGUGAGAGGAGGCAGCCGUCUUACAACCACAGGUCACAGGAAGACACUAAA
rnacentral:antisense_RNA from 1 species